GACGAACGCUGGCGGCGUGCUUAACACAUGCAAGUCGAGCGGUAAGGCCCUUUCGGGGGUACACGAGCGGCGAACGGGUGAGUAACACGUGGGUGACCUGCCUUUAGCUCUGGGAUAAGCCUGGGAAACUGGGUCUAAUACCGGAUAUGACUCCGCGGUGCAUGCUGUGGGGUGGAAAGCCUUGUGCGGCUGGAGAUGGGCCCGCGGCCUAUCAGCUUGUUGGUGGGGUGAUGGCCUACCAAGGCGACGACGGGUAGCCGGCCUGAGAGGCGACCGGCCACACUGGGACUGAGACACGGCCCAGACUCCUACGGGAGGCAGCAGUGGGGAAUCUUGCGCAAUGGGCGAAAGCCUGACGCAGCGACGCCGCGUGA
rnacentral:rRNA from 1 species